GAGCUUGCUCCCUGAUGUUAGCGGCGGACGGGUGAGUAACACGUGGGUAACCUGCCUGUAAGACUGGGAUAACUCCGGGAAACCGGGGCUAAUACCGGAUGGUUGUUUGAACCGCAUGGUUCAGACAUAAAAGGUGGCUUCGGCUACCACUUACAGAUGGACCCGCGGCGCAUUAGCUAGUUGGUGAGGUAACGGCUCACCAAGGCGACGAUGCGUAGCCGACCUGAGAGGGUGAUCGGCCACACUGGGACUGAGACACGGCCCAGACUCCUACGGGAGGCAGCAGUAGGGAAUCUUCCGCAAUGGACGAAAGUCUGACGGAGCAACGCCGCGUGAGUGAUGAAGGUUUUCGGAUCGUAAAGCUCUGUUGUUAGGGAAGAACAAGUGCCGUUCAAAUAGGGCGGCACCUUGACGGUACCUAACCAGAAAGCCACGGCUAACUACGUGCCAGCAGCCGCGGUAAUACGUAGGUGGCAAGCGUUGUCCGGAAUUAUUGGGCGUAAAGGGCUCGCAGGCGGUUUCUUAAGUCUGAUGUGAAAGCCCCCGGCUCAACCGGGGAGGGUCAUUGGAAACUGGGGAACUUGAGUGCAGAAGAGGAGAGUGGAAUUCCACGUGUAGCGGUGAAAUGCGUAGAGAUGUGGAGGAACACCAGUGGCGAAGGCGACUCUCUGGUCUGUAACUGACGCUGAGGAGCGAAAGCGUGGGGAGCGAACAGGAUUAGAUACCCUGGUAGUCCACGCCGUAAACGAUGAGUGCUAAGUGUUAGGGGGUUUCCGCCCCUUAGUGCUGCAGCUAACGC
rnacentral:rRNA from 1 species